UCCAGACUCCUACGGGAGGCAGCAGUGGGGGAUAUUGCACAAUGGGGGGAACCCUGAUGCAGCGACGCCGCGUGAGUGAAGAAGUAUUUCGGUAUGUAAAGCUCUAUCAGCAGGGAAGAAGAAAGACGGUACCUGAGUAAGAAGCCCCGGCUAACUACGUGCCAGCAGCCGCGGUAAUACGUAGGGGGCAAGCGUUAUCCGGAUUUACUGGGUGUAAAGGGAGCGUAGACGGUAUGGCAAGUCUGAAGUGAAAGCCCCGGGCUCAACCUGGGAAUUGCUUUGGAAACUGUUAAACUAGAGUGCUGGAGAGGCAGGCGGAAUUCCUAGUGUAGCGGUGAAAUGCGUAGAUAUUAGGAGGAACACCAGUGGCGAAGGCGGCCUGCUGGACAGUAACUGACGUUGAGGCUCGAAAGCGUGGGGAGCAAACAGGAUUAGAUACCCUUGUAU
rnacentral:rRNA from 1 species